rnacentral:rRNA from 1 species
UACAGAGGUCUCAAGCGUUGUUCGGAUUCAUUGGGCGUAAAGAGCGUGUAGGCGGUCCGGUAAGUCAGCUGUGAAAGUCAAGGGCUCAACCCUUGAAUGCCGGUUGAUACUGUCGGGCUAGAGUCCGGAAGAGGCGAGUGGAAUUCCCGGUGUAGCGGUGAAAUGCGCAGAUAUCGGGAGGAACACCAAUGGCGAAGGCAGCUCGCUGGGACGGUACUGACGCUGAGACGCGAAAGCGUGGGGAGCAAACAGG